rnacentral:rRNA from 1 species
GACGUAGGGCGCGAGCGUUGUCCGGAUUUAUUGGGCGUAAAGAGCUCGUAGGCGGUUUGUCGCGUCUGCUGUGAAAACCCCGAGGCUCAACCUCGGGCCUGCAGUGGGUACGGGCAGACUAGAGUGCGGUAGGGGAGAUUGGAAUUCCUGGUGUAGCGGUGGAAUGCGCAGAUAUCAGGAGGAACACCAAUGGCGAAGGCAGAUCUCUGGGCCGUAACUGACGCUGAGGAGCGAAAGGCAUGGGGAGCGAACAGG